UACGAAGGGGGCUAGCGUUGUUCGGAAUUACUGGGCGUAAAGGGCGUGUAGGCGGCCCGUUAAGACAGGUGUGAAAUUCCUGGGCUCAACCCAGGACGUGCGCCUGUGACUGGCGGGCUUGAGUCCGGGAGAGGAUGGUGGAACUCCCAGUGUAGAGGUGAAAUUCGUAGAUAUUGGGAAGAACACCCGUGGCGAAGGCGGCCAUCUGGACCGGUACUGACGCUAAGGCGCGACAGCGUGGGGAGCAAACAGGAUUAGAUACCCUGGUAGUCCACGCCGUAAACGAUGAGUGCUAGACGUUGGGAAGCCUAGCUUUUCAGUGUCGCAGCUAACGCAUUAAGCACUCCGCCUGGGGAGUACGGCCGCAAGGUUGAA
rnacentral:rRNA from 1 species